rnacentral:misc_RNA from 1 species
ACAACCCGCGUAGGCCCCCCUCUUCAAGGCACUGCUAGCAGAUGGAGAGGACAUGCAUCGCUAUGGCUCUGUGUCCUCUUGAUAGUCUUUCUUAAUUCUUUUCAUUGCCGUUGCUUUUCGUGCCCCUACUGCUUCCCUCCGUGGCAUCUCCACACAUCCUUUUCCUGUACGAGAUCAUAUCGAUAACCGCAGCCGAAGUCGAGUGCGACGCAUCCACGCAUGAAGGCAUGACAACGCUGGUACCUAGUGCAGGCAACGAUGCACAGCCACCCACGUGGAAGACAUCCCAUGGAAGAAGUAACUCACGCCCUCUCUGUGUUUGUGCUGGAUUGCUGUCGACUCUGCGCUUUCUCUUGUCCUAUUAAAGCUUCUUUCCGAAUCACCACCACGACCACUUUUUGCUUCACUUUGGCGCAAGGUAGACUACGCACGCACUCUCACCCUCGGCAGUCAUGUGUGCGGCCCCUUUAUUAUUAGCAUCCCCUUCGCCGUUCUUGUUGCGGAAGGGGCCGCUGAUGGCGGUUGUCCUCUUGGCAUGUCAGAAACCCCCCCUCCCACGCGGGUGCUGGCACACAAUCUCUAUCGCAAUGCGCUUGCUGAGCUGCAAGUCGAUGCCUCCGCCGCGACAGACACUCUUCAGGGCCUCCUCCCUCUUUUCCAGCUUACACGAACACUACACCUGAGCGCUUGGUCGACUGUGCCCUGAGAAGCGCGUGCACUCGAACCCACUCAAACGGACUUGAAGAGGAAGCCUGUGUGCGUGCCUGUGUGCCUUGACAAACAAAGACACUCCACAAUAGCAGCAGGCAGUCGCGGGUGCGCGCAGGUUCGUCGGCAUAAUGGAACUUGCUCCGCCUUUGUCGAGUCAACUAUCCCAUUCGUGGGACACGCGCGAGGUACUCCGGCGCAUGAUAUCUGGCUUGUGUGGAUGCACGAUCUCGGAGCAACCAACGAAGUACACGUCAUCUGCGAACAGAAUAACAAAACCGGGCGGUGGUGGUGAUGGUGGCGACGUGCUGUUUACGGUUCGAGCGCUUUGGUCGCUCAUUAUGGUCUCGAUAGUGAGGUCCGGUGUCCCACAUACGCACCAGCUCUUUGGCAUGCGUACCUGGACACUCAUUUCGCAUGUGUGCGUCGCUGACGCUCAUAUUCUUUUUCCUCUUGCGCAUGCUGCUUUUGAUUUGCCCAUUUUACGCCGCGCAUUGCGAUCGCGAAGCAACAU